rnacentral:rRNA from 1 species
AAUGAACGCUGGUGGCAGACCUAACACAUGCAAGUCGAACGAUUUAUAAAAACUUCGGUUUUUGUAAAGAGUGGCAAACGGGUGAGUAAUGCAUGGGAAUCUACCUAGAAGUUUGGGAUAACUAUUAGAAAUAGUAGCUAAUACCGGAUACACCCUGAGGGGGAAAGUUGACUUUUAGUCUUCGCUUUUAGAUGAGCCCAUGUUAAAUUAGUUAGUUGGUGGGAUAAUAGCCUACCAAGACGAUGAUUUAUAGCUGGUCUUAGAGGAUGAUCAGCCACACUGGAAUUGAGAUACGGUUCAGACUCCUACGGGAGGCAGCAGCUAAGAAUCUUCCGCAAUGGGCGCAAGCCUGACGGAGCGACGCCGCGUGCAUGAUGAAGGCAGAGAUGUUGUAAAGUGCUUUUAUGGGUAAGGAAUAAUGGAGGCAGGAAAUGGUCUCCAGAUGACGUGAACCCAUGAAUAAGCUCCGGCUAAUUACGUGCCAGCAGCCGC